rnacentral:rRNA from 1 species
GACGAACGCUGGCGGCGUGCUUAACACAUGCAAGUCGAACGGAAAGGCCGUGCUUUGGUUGGGUGGUUGAGUUGCGAACGGGUGAGUAACACGUGGGUAACCUGCCCUGUAGUGGGGGAUAACUUCAGGAAACGGUGGCUAAUACCGGAUAGUAGCUGCUGUUGCAUGGUGUUGGUUGGAAAGUUUCGGUGGUUUGGGAUGGAGUGGGGGCUGAUCAGCUUGUGGGUGGGGGAGUGGCUUACGAUGGCCUUGACGGGGAGCCGGCCUGGGAGGGUGACCGGCCCCAUAGGGACACGGAUAGGGCCCAGACUGCUACGGGAGGCAGCAGUGGGGAAUAUUGCACAAUGGGCGGAAGCCUGAUGCAGCAACGCCGCGUGCGGGAUGACGGCCUUCGGGUUGUAAAGCGCUUUAGCCUGUGACGAAGCGUCAGUGACGGUAAUGGGUAAAGAAGCACCGGCUAACUACGUG